GGCCUCGAGCGGCCCCAUGGUGGCCACAGCGCCCGCGACCUCGUGGCGUGGCCGCCAGGCGCGGUCUGUGGUGGCGAUGGUGGCGCGGUGUGGCGCCAUGGGCUGCACCUCAGCUCAGCUCACCUCAGCUCAGCUCACCUCAACUCACCUCAACGCACCUCACCUCAACACAGCUCACCUCACCACACCUCCUGCUCCACCAGUCCAAGGCUCUCCGGCAUGCCUGGCUGCAACAUGGUGCCCCCAUGCUGCACCUCCGCACCACGAUGCAGCUCCCAGCGUGACACCUCCAUGGCGCGAGGCUGAGGCGGUGCUCCCUGUCACCCCGGGACACCCCGCACCGGGGGUGAGGCUGCCCUGAGGGAUGGAUGCAGUGGUGAUGGGAUGAGCGGGAUCGUUACGGGAGUGCUCUGGAAGCUGACGUGGUGGACUCGCGGCUUUCCUGUGGGAGCGGGUAUGUAUUUGUUUAUUUGAUGCUCAACACAAGCACAAACCAUAAUUUAUCAAAGAAACUGAGUUCCAUACGUGAAGCAGCGAGAGGUUUUAACGUACCUUUCAAGCCCAAGUCUACUCGCUUUUGAUUUUGUACUGCUGUGGAGUCUAGAAGUGCUUCCUGCCUGUGCUCAAUCUGCUGCGUGGUGCUUCUGGAGACGCCAUGGAGUGUUUGCAGGACAUCUGGGUUGUUCCCUUUAUUGGAAUCAGCCUGAGAGCACAGACCAGUCUGGUUCGUGUUUGUUGUGCCACUGCUGUAUCCCUCAUGAAUGAAGCAGCAUAUGAUUUUGUAGUUAAUUUAACAUCUGCUGGUACGACUGUAAGCCAGCCAUGUUUUUAAUGUUGGAAUGGCUGGUUUAUAUUUGGCCGUGUUCUUCCUCAUCUGGUGUUGAUCAAAAGUUCAUAUAAGGGUUGUUUCAACAGACUCCGAGAGCUUAAUCCCAUGAAGAUUUGCAUAUCUCUUUAACCUGAAAUACCUGGGAGGUCACGUUUCGGUUGCAAAAAUCAGUGUAACCUUUCAAGGUUAAAACCUAAAUAUUUAAAGGUUUGUAACGUGGCCUUUCAUUUUCAUGCUUUCCAGUAAUGAAGACAUUCAAAACGUUAGCAAGGCAUAGGCCUAUUAAGAAAAUAUGUGAAACUAUGUGUAAGAUACAGACUAUUGCCUUUUUUAUUGUGAACCGUGUCAAACAUUACCAGCACCCACAAGCAGUUGAUAAGAACAAUGUGUUCCCUUCUCCCUUCUACUUAAAUAAUCUAACUGCUAAUUAAAACUUUGUCUUAAAGAGAGAUCUGCGCUUCGAGCUUUAUCUGAUUUGCACAAUUAAAGGCUGGUAUUAAGCAGCAGCUGCAUUUCAAUGGCAAAUGAAGCCAGCAUAUAGAAACACUGUCCUUCAUCUGGCCUCGACUGCUGGAUGCAUAAUACUGGGAUUCAUUUAGGAAAUCCUGUCAAGUCUCUCUGCAGAAGUGACUGCAUGCCAAGGACAGUGAAGUAAUUAAGAAGAACCUCAAUUACGAGGAGAAUUCCAGUAGCGUUGCAAGACUUGACAAAGCUGUUAUGACUUCUUGAGGGUUACACAGGAGUGCCCCUUUACAACUCUGCUUGCUGCUUUUUAACACCACCCGAAUUUCGUGCUGCGACUACAUCACUUUUUCCAAAGGUUUCUUUG